GAUGCUCUCUGACAUCACCUAUUCUAUAAAAUUUCUUUUGUUUUUCUUUCUUAAGUUUGGUGAGACAUACCAAAUUGAAUUCAAAAUCCAUCAAUGACUCAUGACCAUCAGUUAGAAACAUUCCGGACCAGGAACCUUUGGAAUCACAGGAGUUGAGAGCCUGCCAGCUUACUUCAUUGUCAUCUAAUUGUGGGCCCUCAAACGGCAAUGUUCCAAAUGUCAUCUCUUCCCAGCUUUGUGGGGGGGGGGGUGGGAAAAUGAAGAGGGGUAAUAGGGAGAGAAUUAAUGUCAGGAGAAUAAGACAGAAAGGGCCGACAAUUCUGUAGUUUCUUCUAAGACUGGCUUCAGGAUUCCUUUGAGUUUAAUAUUUCUGUUACAUUUUUAUCCUGAGAUAUGUAAAUUUCCAGAACAUUCAGGGUCAAUUAUAAGACUAUUAGAAAGAUUUUUAUUUAAACAUAAACUCAAAAUCAUUCAAGGAUAAAGAAGAAAUCUACGAGAACUCUGAGUAGGCCUUUACUAACCCACUGUGUGAUAUUCAGAAGAGGGUGAUCAAGAAAGUGAGUGACCUAGAGAACACAUCACGGGAUAACCAAUAAACAUAGACAAGAUGAGCAGAACAACUCUUAACAGUAGACAACUUCACCAGGAGAACAGCAGUUAAGUACAACAGGAAGGCCAGUGUCUCCCCAGUACCACCUGCCUAAGCUACUACAAGGGUCCCCCUAACAGAGGUACUUCUGUUCAGUGAUUUCCUGGAAGAAGGAAGAACAUGGCUGAAAUGAACAAUCAACGAACACUGAUUUAAUCUAUACCACACUUACCUCCAGUGAGGUAAACCAUGGAUCACUGUUGAAAAAUAUUCUUAUAAGGCCAUUGGAUAAAAACAAGUAUUAGAUAUCAAUCAGUGCUCUGAUUUGGGAAGAGCCAUUUAUGGUCUCUAAGCUUAUGUCAUCUCGUCUACAGAAUGAAAGUGACUGAUUCCUCACAUGGCUUCCAACUCCAAGAAUUUCUGGAAUGCUGUACUGACACUCAUACAGAGCUGUUUGGGGGUUAAUGAUUGUUCUUCAUUUCUGCUUCCUUUUCUUGAUAGAUUUUAUCAAAAAGUGAGCCAUUUUAAAAAGCAGUUAUUGGACAUUUUUUAAGAACUGCAGGAGAGGUGGAGAUAGUUGCAAGAGCGAGACCCGUUAGGUUUCCUUUUUCUUUUACUACCAUUUAACUUUUUCCUCCAAGCCUCUUGCCUUACAAUAAACAAAAAAACAGAUGACCAUGUCA